rnacentral:rRNA from 1 species
GACGAACGCUGGCGGCGUGCUUAACACAUGCAAGUCGAACGAAGUGGCGCACGGGUGCGUAACGCCUAAGCAACCUGCCCUUCAGAGGGGGACAACAGUUGGAAACGACUGCUAAUACGGCAUACGGAAGGGGGGGAUUACGGCUGAUUAGCUAGUGGGGGGGGGAAAGGCCCACCAAGGCGAUGAUCAGUAGCCGGUCUGGGAGGAUGAACGGCCACAUUGGGACUGAGACACGGCCCAGACUCCUACGGGAGGCAGCAGUGGGGAAUCUUACGCAAUGGACGAAAGUCUGACGGAGCAACGCCGCGUGUGUGAUGACGGCCUUCGGGUUGUAAAGCUCUGUUAAUCGGGACGCGGUACCGGAAUAGAAAGCCACGGCUAACUACGUGCCAGCAGCCGCGGUAAUUC